GAUGAAGAACGUAGCGAAAUGCGAUAAGUAAUGUGAAUUGCAGAAUUCAGUGAAUCAUCGAAUCUUUGAACGCACCUUGCGCCUUUUGGUAUUCCGAAAGGCACACCUGUUUGAGCGUCAUGAAUACCUCAAUCUCCAUCUUUUCUUCGGAUUGAUGGGUGACUUGGAUGUUGAGCCCUGCUGGUAUGCUAUAUCAGCUGGCUUUAAACUUAUUAGCCGGCUCUGUACUGGAUCGGUUUGACUCGACGUGAUAAUAUUAUCGUUGAGGAUGCAUGUCUCAUGCAGCCGGAAAGUAUCAAAGCAGCUUCUAGCUCGCCUUUAGUGCACUUUUACAUUUUAGACCUCAGAUCAGGUGGGACUACCCGCUGAACUUAAGCAUAUCAAUAAGCGGAGGA
rnacentral:misc_RNA from 1 species